AAAUUGAAGAGUUUGAUCAUGGCUCAGAUUGAACGCUGGCGGCAGGCCUAACACAUGCAAGUCGAACGGUAACAGAAAGCAGCUUGCUGCUUUGCUGACGAGUGGCGGACGGGUGAGUAAUGUCUGGGAAACUGCCCGAUGGAGGGGGAUAACUACUGGAAACGGUAGCUAAUACCGCAUAACGUCGCAAGACCAAAGAGGGGGACCUUCGGGCCUCUUG
rnacentral:rRNA from 1 species